UACGGGGGGGGCAAGCGUUGUUCGGAAUUACUGGGCGUAAAGGGUUCGUAGGUGGCCAACUAAGUCAGACGUGAAAUCCCUCGGCUUAACCGGGGAACUGCGUCUGAUACUGGAUGGCUUGAGGUUGGGAGAGGGAUGCGGAAUUCCAGGUGUAGCGGUGAAAUGCGUAGAUAUCUGGAGGAACACCGGUGGCGAAGGCGGCAUCCUGGACCAAUUCUGACGCUGAGGAGCGAAAGCCAGGGGAGCAAAACGGGG
rnacentral:rRNA from 1 species